rnacentral:lncRNA from 1 species
CUCUUCUUACUCCUAUAAAUAAUCCAGCACAUGCAUGACAUAUUCACUCAUCCUUCUCUUCAACUAUCUCCCCUCUCCAUAUACCGAAUAAAUCCAUAGCACUACAGUCAUGGCAACAAGACUUCUCUUUGCUUCCGUACCCAAAGCCCACCCGAAGAGUAGCAAACCAUCACAACACCGCACUCCAUUUUCUGCAGUUGCAGCAUCCCGUUUUCUACAGAUCUCAAGACUUCAUGCUUCUAAAACUCUCGAGACAAUAUACGAAGAAGAAAUGACCACAUGCAGUGAAAGCAGAGAUGGUGUUGCAGAUGUAUUUACAAAUGCUUCACCUUUGCCUUCGGUUUCUGCCUCUUUUUUGCUAUCUAGCAGGUCGACAUGCUUAGUUAAAAUGCAGAAACACUUAUCGAAGAACUCUCACAACUUCCGAUGUGCUUAUGGUAGUAAUUAGUAUUCAUUUCUAUUGUUUGGUUAUAUUUAAAGGAUAUACGUUGGAAAAGUUAGAGUAUGUUGAAGAAGGAUAUCAAGAACUAUGGAAGGGUAAAUAUUGCUUGGGUCGUUAAGGUGGUGUUGUCAAUUUUAGCUUUGUGGCUUCACUCCUUGUUGGUCUUGCAUCGUUGGUCAUCCUGCUGAGGGGUUAUUUCAGGGAUCUCAUCAUAUGACUAUUUUGUUUAGAAACCCUUCUUGGAGCUAUGUUUGGGGGAAUAGCUUUUUGGUUCCCUAGACUUUUUUUUUUUUUUCGUGUCUUCUAUUUUAGUUUCGUGCAGUCGCUUCUUCUAUAUAUAUAAUUUGUAAUCUUAUGCAACAAAGUCGGAUUUUCUAAGUGUCAUUUCCUUGUAUUGGUGGAUGCACAACCUUUUCGAUCUCUAGGGUAUAAUGGAAGUUUAUUGUUGUAAACGUGAAUUUCUUAUAAGACAAUCAUGCAGUCAGUCAUGCUCUUGAUUAUUUUCCCUUUUCAUUUUCUGGUUCUUUCUGUUCAUUGAUGGCAUCCCACCAAAUAUACUAUUUUGUUAACCAUGUAAUUUUCAUCAUAAAAGAUAACAAAUAAUGUAAUAAUGAAGACGUGAAUUAGUUAAAAAUAAUAUUGAAAUAGAACAAUCAUUUUUGUUUUUAACUAAUCACUUACUCCACUCAAUAUAACAAUUCAAAGAGUGAAAGCAACUUUUACCUUUCAUUUACUAUUUAUAUAAUUUAUUUAUUUUGGUGUUGAAUUAGAUUUUUCUUAAAAAGAUCGGUCUUCACAUAACCAUGUCCUAGAGGCCAGGGAGAUGUUUGAGGUGAAACCGACUAAGAGCUAGACGUUUCAUGUUUGAGUUGUGGAUGUUCGAAGACCUAUAGAUCACAAAGAGAUCCGAUAGCAUCUCAAGAUUACGUUCUGAGGCAAGUUAGGGGGUAUUACUCAAGAGAGUAAAUGAGAACUUUAAAGAGAAUUUGGUAGUGAGAUGUUACUUGGUGAUCUCUUAUAUGUAAGAGGUAUUUAUAGUGUUGUCGAGGAGAAAAUGCUUGUCAUAAGGUAUGAUCUAUGUUCAUCUAUCGUGUAUAUUUUUUGCAGGUGACCCUGGGUGGCGCGAUCUCUUAGUAGAAUUAGGCAAGACUCUUUUGGCUUCAUCGUGCGGGUUUCGAAAUCGAUUGUUGUUGUGGUUGCUCAACCAUGAUAUAAGGUGAGAUUAUCCAUACUGGAGUAAGGGUUUGGUAUAGCCAAAUGCUAAGUCUCCUUCCAAUUUGGUAGGCAUAGCGAGAUCCUUUGGCCAACAUUCGAUUAUCGUACUUAUCUUAUCCUGAUAGACACAAUGAUUUUUUGUUAACCGACUAGUUGUUUUUAGUGUUAUCGAUGCUAAACAUGUGCCACAUGCAUGUGUUAAUUAUCGUAAUAAGAGAUUAUGUUUUCUUGAUGUGUGGUUUAAUAUACUAAAAUGUAAUCAAAAUUUUAAAUUUAUAAAACUGGUUUAUUCUCAAGUAGACUAAAACACACACCAAAAAACUCUGAAACAAUUGCCAUACGAAAAAGGGUUUCUAAUUAAAGGGAAAAAAGGAUUUAUGUCAAUGCUUAUCCAAUUAAUACUCGUUAAAGCACAAUUUUGGAUUUGUAUGCCGGACCAAUAUUUUUGUCUCACAAAAACUUUGGAUUGAAAUACAUAACUAAUCGACACCAAUGAACAUGGUUACUUUCCAAAUUCUUCUACAUGAUCAAUGUAGUUACUGUUAGUGUGUUUAUUGAAGGAGACCACAUUUUACCAUUCCAAAAUUUGUACAUCUUUCCAAAUUUCUUUUAUAAAGGAAGAAAACAAGUGAUACAAACAAAAAUAAAUAAAUAAAUAAUAAUAAUAAUAAUAGAGGACGACCAAAAUGAAUAAUACAAAGAUGUCAUCGUCAAUGAUAAAGAAUAUAAUAAUAAAGAUGACGGACACCAUGAAAGACAACGGCGUCAUUAUAACGCUCGUGAUGAGUGUAAUAAUAAUAAUAAUAAUAAUAAUAAUAAUAAUAAUAAUAAUAAUAACCGUUAAUAAUAAAGAAUAGAUAAUUAACAUUUAAUAAAUUAAACUUGAUUAUAAUGGAUUCAUAAGUUGGAAUUCAUAAGAUUUGUAGUUCAACACUAAUCAAAUAUUUAGUUUUUAAUGGAAAAAACCAAAUUUCGUAACAUUUAUAAAAUACGUGCCAUAGAAUUUUGUAUACGCUUUAUACAUUAGAGGACUUAAAUGGUAAAAUUGUAUUAAUUGUGGAAUGCUAAUAUAAUAAUUUAUUAAAUUUUAUAUAGUUCAAUUAAUACAAUUUUAAUACAAUUUUACCAUUUACGUCCUCUAAUGUAUAAAACAUAUAUAAAUUAAACCUGAUUAUAAUGUGGAAUGCUAAUAUAACGUUUUAGGUAUUAUAAGUUUUACUAUAAGUAUAUGUUUUGUUUAUUUUUAUAUAUUAAUAUCUAUUGGGGCCGGGUCGGACUAGGGGUAUCCUCAACCCCACUUUUUUAUGUGGAGAUUCUCAUCUUCGUCCCUAUCCCCGGUCAAAACGGGUGUAAGUUUCGAGUUCCCUCUCGGAUAUGGAGAUUUUUUCCAUCCCUAAGAAUAUCUUAAUAUUUAUCUAGUUUUGAAAAAAAAUAAUAUCAUAGUAAUAAAUUUGAAAAAAUAUGGAAAUAUAAACUAUAAAAGUUACUCUUUAAAGUCCAUAAAUAAUAUUAUGUGAGACAAAUAGAUUAGAAUAAAAAUAUAAUAAAAUAGUAUAAAUAUUAAUGAAAAAGGUAUAAUAAAAUAGUACAUAUUCUAUCGGAUAGAUAGAAUAAACAAAAAUAGAUUACUAUAAGAUUAUAACAAAAUAAUAUCAAAUAUUAAACUAAAAGAAUAUAAUAUAAUAAUACUUUAUGUCGGAUACAUAAAAUACAAUUAAAUUAUAUUAAGAUAAUAUCAUCUAUUAGAUUGAGUGGCGGACCCAUACCAAAAUUUUACCGGGAUCCAUUAUAUCGUUAAUAUUAUAUGAUCAAAAGAAACUCUAAAAAUUUGUUAUUUUUUAGUAGGCCAAAUGUAACUUUCUACUUAAAUAUAGUACUCCCUCCGUCGCAAUAUUAUUGUCCAUAGACAAAAAAACAUACAGAUUAAGAAAAGUAUUAACUACCACUAACUUUAUUUAAUAAAAUGACAGCUUUGCCCUUACUUUGUAUUUAAUGUUUCAUUAAAUGCUUAGUUAGUUAAAUAAUAAUGAGGGGUAUUUUGGUAAAAAUGUUAUUUAUUUUUAGAAGUGGAUUAUUAUUUUGAGACAAACCAAAAAGGAAAGAUGGACUAUAAUUUUAGGACGGAGGAAGUAUCAUUUUUAUAUAUAGUAUAUGUGUUGCGGCUACUUUAAAUGGGGNCUAAAAUGGGGUGCAUGCACCCCACUACUAACAUACUAAAUCCGCCACUAAUUAGAUAAACAUAGUAUAAUAAGAUAACACCUUAUGUAUACAGAAAGAUAAUAUAAAAAGAAUAAAAAUAAGAUAAUACAUUUUGUCAUGUUUUUUAUUAAUACAAAAGGAAAAAAAUACAAAACAAUUACAUUAACAUAAUUUAUUUGUCUCACAAAAAGUAUUGUAGUAAAUUUAUAUCCUAUGAUAAUACCUUUGUCAACGGUUAAAUUUACAGGAAAAUAAUAGUAAGAUAAUCAUCGGCGGAUUUAAGGGUCUCACUGGGGAGNNNNNNNNNNNNNNNNNNNNNNNNNNNNNNNNNNNNNNNNNUUCAUUGAUUAGUUACUUUUGUUUAAGUCAGGAAAUGAUUUUUAAGUUUUUUUUACACAUUGAGAUCCAAUGAAUCAGUUGUUGACAGUGUAGGGCUUUAGGCGAACAAUCCAACCUAUUUGAAAUAGUUUGUCUAUUUCUGAAAUAGUUUAUCUAUUUCUAAAUAGUUUACUCUUUGUCGGACAAUACUUUCACGAUAAUUAUUGUGUCUUCCUUGUCAUUGGCACUAAACCAAUGUUGGCUACGCUUAGGCACUAAUCACACGUCUAACGAGGGCAGACAAGCAUACCGUAUUAGCAUCACAAAAUGCAAUACAUGCAACUUUAAUGCCUAUGUUUUCCCGAUCAUCGACACAAAUCUAAUGCUGGCUGCGCUGCUAGCACCGUUCGCACAUCAAACAAGGAUUAGCAAAGCAUAUCAUGAUUGUAUUGCCAGCCAAACAACACCAUCCUGUACUACCAAGGUNNNNNNNNNNNNGGGGGGGGGGGGUCCCUGGCCACCACUCGAUUUUACGUCGUAGUGUGAAAACAAAUUUGUUAAAGUGCACCCAUUAAAAAAUAUGCAACUGAUAGUUUAAGGAGCAACUAAAGCCGUAAUUCAUGCUUUUGCCACCGAAGUUAAUACCAUUUUGUCAAACAUAAAUACAAUAAAGUUAUAAUAAUAUAAUAUUAUCAAACAUUAAGAAUGCCUUGAAAUUACACUAAGAUAAUACUUUCUCUUAAGAUUAUAUUACAAUAAGACAAUUUAAUAGACAAAUAGAAUACAAUAAUAUUACAUUAAGAUAAUACAUCUAUAAAUAAUAUAAUACGAUUCCUAAAACAUUCUUUUAACUAAAUAGAUAAAAUAUAAUAAAAUAAUAUAUUCUGUCGUACCAGAGAAUAAAUAAGAUUAUAAUAAGAUAAUAUUCUACGCUGUUUUAGUUUUUUUAAAUGGUUUUAUUGUCUAGAAUAUAUAGAUUUUUCUAAAGAUAAAGUUGUAAUUUCAUAAUAAUGUCAAAAUUUGGAAACUUUGCUUGUAAAUUAUCCUAAAUUAAUAAAAUCUUAAUUUUAUGAAUAACGACAACAAUUAUUACUAUUAUUGUUGUUUUAUCGCUUUUUAUUAACUAGUUACACAUAAUUCACGACAGACAAAUGUGAUUCCAUGUCGAUAGAAUUAACGAUCAAGUACUGGUGAAAUGAUUUUGGUUGACUGUAAAACAAAGAAAAUAGACGGUUCACUAACUCUUCUUACUCCUAUAAAUAAUCCAACACAUGCGUGACAUAUUCACUCAUCCUUCUCUUCCACUAUCUCCCCUCUCCAUAUACCGAAUAAAUCUGUAGCACUGCAGUCAUGGAAACAAGACUUCUCUUUGCUUUCGUACUCAAAGCCUACCCGAAGACUACCAAACCAUCACAACACCACACUCCAUUUUCUGCAGUUACAACAUCCCAUUUUCUACAGAUCUUGAGACUUCAUGCUUCUAAAACUCUCGAGACAAUAUACGAAGAAGAAAUGACUACAGACAGUGAAGCAGAGAUGGUGUUGUGGAUGUAUUUACAAGUGCUUCACAUUUGCCUUUAGUUUCUGCCUCUUUUUUGCUAUCCAGCAGGUCGAGAUGCUUAGUUAAAAUGCAUAAACACUUAUCUAAGAACUCCGACAACUUCCGAUGCGCUUAUGGUAGUAAUUAAUAUUUAUUUGUAUUGUUUGGUUAUAUUUAAAGGGUAUACAUUGGAAAAGUUAGAGUAUGUUGAAGAAGGCUAUCAAGAACUAUGGAAGGGUAAAUAUUUAUCGGAUCGUUAAGGUGGUGUUGUCUGUUUUAACUUUGUGGCUUCACUCCUUGUUGGUCUUACAUCUUGCUGAGGGGGUAUUUUAGGGAUCUCAUCAUAUUACCAUUUUUUAGAAACCCUUCUUGGAGCUAUGUUUGGGGGAAUAGCUUUUUGGUUCCCUAGACUUUUUCUUUCUUUUUUGUGUCUUCUAUUCUAGUUUCGUGCANUAUAGGGGAUAGGGAAUAUACAUUACAACCCCACCUAAGCUUAGGUACUAAACCUCUAAAAUAUGUCGUUUUAACUUGCUAAAUAUACCCGAUUUGGUUUCACUUGGUAAAUAUACCAUCCUCCAUAUCAUUUCUUUCUUUCAUUAUCGUUUUACCAUCUCUGUUUUCUUCACUCCAUUAUCGUUUAUUAGUUCACCAAAAUGAACAUUACUAAAACCUAAACCUAAACCCUAAACCCUAAAUCCUCAACCUAAUACCUAAACCCAUAAACCCUAAAUCCUAAACCCUAAACCUUAAACCCUAAACCUAAACCCUAAACCCUAAACCAUAAACCUAAACCCAAAACCCUAAACCCUAAACCUAAACCUAAACCCUAAACCCUAAACUCAAUUAUGUCGAUCUUGAAUUUACAUCUUGAAGUAUUAAUAGUGAAUCCAUUAACCGUAAUCUUUAUAUAGUAAAAAAAUGUAUUUUCAAGAGGUUUAGUACCUAAGCUUAGGUGGGGCUGUAAUGUAUGUAUAUUCCCUUUUCCCAUAUAUAUAUAUAUAUAUAUAUAUAUAUAUAUAUAUAUAUAGAAUNNNNNNNNNNNNNNNNNNNNNNNNNNNNNNNNNNNNNNNNNNNNNNNNNNNNNNNNNNNNNNNNNNCUAAGUGCCAUUUCCUUGUAUUGGUGGACGCACAACCUUUUAGAUAUGCAAGGUAUAAUGGAAGUUUAUUGUUGUAAACGUGAAUUUCUUAUAAGACAAUCAUGUAGUUAGUCAUGCUCUUGAUUAUUUUCCUUUUUCCUGUUCAAGUUCGUUUUGUUCAUGGAUAGCAUCCCACCAAAUACACUAUUUUUUUAACCAUGUAAUUUUCAUCAUAAAAGAUAACAAAUAAUUUAAUAAUGAAGAGGUGAAUUUGUUGAAUAUAAUAUUGAAAUUGAGAACAAUUCAAAGAGUGAAGACAAAUUUUACCUUUCAUUUACUAUUAAUAUAAUUUAUUUUAGUGUCGAAUUAAUUUUUUUUUAAAAAGAUCAGUCUUCACAGAGUCUUCACAGAACCAGGUCCUAGAGGCCAGGGAGACGUUUAAGGUGAAACCGACUAAUAGCUAGACUUUUCAUGUUUGAGUUGUGGAUGUUCGAAGACUUGUAGAUCACAAAGAGAUCCGAUAGCAUCUCAGGAUUACGUUCCGAGGCAAGUUAUGGGGUAUUACUCAAGAGAGUAAAUGAGAACUUUAAAGAGAAUUUGGUAGUGAGAUGUUACUUGGUGUAUGUAAGAGGUAUUUGUAGCGUUGAUGAGGAGAAACUGUUUUUCACAAGGUAUGAUUUAUGUUCAUCUAUCGUGUAUAUUUUUUCCAGGUGACCUUGGGUGUCACAAUCUCUUAGUAGAAUUAUGCGAGACUCUUUUGGCUUCAUCGUGUGGGUUUCGAAAUCGACUGUUGUUGUGGUUGCUCAUCCAUGAUAUAUGGUGAUAUUAUCCAUACUGGAGUGAGGGUUUGGUAUAGCCAAAUGCUAAGUCCUUCCAAUUUGGUAGGCAUAGCGAGAUCCUUUGGCCAACAUUCGAUUAUCAGACUUAUCUGAUCCUGAUAGAGACAAUGAUUUUCUAUUAACCGACUAGUUGUUUUUAGUGUUAUUGAUGCUAAAAAUGUGCCACAUGCAUGUGUUAAUUAUCAUAAUAAGAUAUUAUGAUUUCUUGAUGUGUGGUUUAAUAUACUAAAAUGUAAUCAAAGUUUAAAAUUUAUAAAACUGGUUUAUUCUCAACUAGACAAAAACACACACUAGACAAUGUACUUAAUCGUGUAGUAGUGUAGCUAUGGCAAGACUCGAACACUUGGGUAACGAGUAUGUGUUGAUUCAGAUAAAAUUAAACUAUAAACAUAAAAUAAAGGAGAGGGGUAGGGAUGAUUUAUUUUUAAUUAUCUUAAACUCGAUUUUCAUUAUUAAUUAAGACAAACAAACUGAGCAAUGAAUUUGAUUAAAAUAACAAUUUUGAAGUAUUUAUGCUUAGAUUCUGAAUCCCUCUAAUUUCAUAUGGUCAAUUUAUUGAAAGUGAUAUGAAUAUAAUAAAGUUGAUAACAAUUUAUAAAGUGAUGAACAACCUUGGUUAGAUUAACGGAUACUAAUAAUUAUUUAGCAACUAAUUUAAUGAUCUUGCAAUUAGCUAACUUAACACCUGUUUUCAGGUAUUAUUCUUUUAGAAGUUUAAUUAUCUUAAGUUUUGAACUUUGGGAUGUUGACUGAACGCAACACGGUGGUGGAGAUCCAUCGUGGUGCGACCACGUCAUAAAUUAGUGGCAUGGUCAGCUGUCUACCGUGGAGCGGUGGGAGUUGGGCUUAAACCCCUAAAUCUUGAGCCUUGUGCUAUAUUUUAGCAAUGGGAUGACUAAGGUUUUGUCUCAUUCUUAUCCUCCACCCUCCUGAGAGAAACCCUAGUUUUGUAUGUGUGUGUGUUCUUGGUCUCUUAGUGUGUGUUUGCUUGGUGUUUCAAGAUCUUGAGUGCUCUUGGAAAAAGAAGGAGGUUGUCAUUCUUUGUUGUUGGAGUUGGUUGUUGUUGGGAGCUGAUCUUCUAAGCAUUCCAUGCUUCUGAAAGGUAUAAAGCCCAUACCUUUAUCCUUAUUUGGUUGUUGAUCAUGCUCAAAUGUCCCUUUAGGGUCUUUGGAGGAAGAUUCUUGGAAUUUUGAGCAUCUUCAAGACCUUGGUUUGAUUUAGUGAUGGGUUUUGGAUCUUAUGGUCCCAUAAAGUCGAGUGCUUGCACUUAAUUCGGCCAUGCAAAUUCUUCUUGGUCAUUUUGGUCCCAUUUGGUGUUAGAUUUCAAGAUCGAGGUCAUUAGAGGUUGAGGGAUGGAUAAAUUUGGAAACUCUGUCCAUGCAUGACUUAAGUCGAUUCAAAUCUAAGAUUUGGAGCUCUGGAGUUAAAUGUUAAGAGCUUAAUAGAUUAAGGUGUUCUUUGUUUUUUUGGAAAAAACCUCUUCAGACCUCUUAUUGCUGCACGACGCAACACAUGCGCAACACUUUUCAUCUCGCAGCUGUUUAUUUUUCAGAAGUCUUCGGAUUAAAAAACUUUUGUGUGUGUUCUUCUUGAGGCAUCACUUGUUUUGCCACUUUCUACCUCUUCCAACCUUUUCUUCUUCUUCUUUUUUUUUGCUAAAAUAUUGAUUAUAUAUUGCUGAAAUCUUAUUUCACAUUUUUUUUCGUUUAUUAUUGUUGAAAUAUAUUUUUUUAUUGAAUAAGUAAUAAUUUGUUGAUGAAAUAUCAUUAUUUUAUGCUAAAUUUUUUUUGUUAAAAUAUCAUUAUUUUUUUGCUGAAAUAUCAUAAAUUCUUGACGAAAUGUCAUACAUUAUUAAAUUUUCGGUAUUAAAAAACUAUUUUCGGAUUAUAAAAUUAGUUUAUUUUAAUUUUUUAAUAUCUGCAGCAGCAUGCAGAUGUUAAAAAAACAAACACACUUCAUAUUACAGUCUGCAGCCGUUUGGUCCACCUCUUCUACUGCAGAGGGUUGCAGAGGUGGUCCGCAAUCUUUAUGGAUUUUUGCUUCCAAAAAACAAACAACACGUAAGUUGUCUGGGACGUAAACUCUGGUACAACUAUGGUCUAGUCACGAUGUGGUGGACUGAUGAGUCUCGUGACUCUUUAUCCCUUAGCAACCAAGACACGACCAAGGGGAUUAGCCGCGAUGUAUUGGUCAGUCGGGGGUGGGGAGCGCCUGCAUGACAUUCUGUGGGUUGGAAAUUAGGACAUCCUCUUAAUUAAUUAUGAAUUAUGGAUGGUCCUGACCCAUUACAAUUAGGGUUUCUCAUGUUUGCCCAUAAAUACGUUCAUAUCCUCAUCAUUGUUAGUUGCUAGAUUUCUAUGAGAGAUCAAAGUGAGAUAUAAAUUUUGAGUGUUUGUAAUAAUUUCAAAAAGUUAAUAAAAUAAUCUCUCUCUCUCUCUCUCUCUCUCUCUCUCUCUCUCUCUCUCUCUCUCUCUCUCUCUCUCUCUCUCUCUCUCUCUCUCUCUCUCNNNNNNNNNNNNNNNNNNNNNNNNNNNNNNNNNNNNNNNNNNNNNNNNNNNNNNNNNNNNNNNNNNNNNNNNNNNNNNNNNNNNNNNNNNNNNNNNNNNNNNNNNNNNNNNNNNNNNNNNNNNNNNNNNNNNUUUUUUUUUUUUUAUAUUGCUUAUGUUAAUAUUUUUUGCAUAGAAAUGUGAUUUAUGUAUGAUAAAAAUGAAGUCAUUAUCCUAUUAGUAUUAUAACUUCAUGUUGCAUGCUAGCUAGCUAACUUCAUAGUUCACACCAAUAUAACACAAAACCAAUGAUAUUAUAUUAUAUAAGAACAAAUAGCCAAUAAGUCUGAUAAACCUAUCAUUUGUAUAAUUGCCUACGUAAAAUGAUAACAUAAAACCAAAUAACUUUACCAAGAUGAGCCCGCCUUUGUUAUGAAAUGUAGAGUCAUCAGUCCUACUCAAUUGCUCUCAAAUCAGAAACAAUUGCCGUGUAAAAAGGGUAUCAAAUUAAAGGAAAAAAGCAUAUGUAUGUUGAGUUUCAUCCACCUUCUAAAGCACAAUUUUGGAUUUUAAUUAGUGCCCAUUUUUGGCCUGACAAUUGUUCGCUCACAUUUAUUCUGAAAAGCUAUGUAUCAAGAUUCAAGAGGGCUACUUGAACAUAUUUAUUUCUUCAGGCGUAAAGUGUUUUAUUCCUUACAAAUGCAAGACACUGCUUUCUUGUUUCCCUUAAAAUGCUCCUACUUGUUUUACCCUUCACCUUUUUUUUUUAUUAUAAAUUUCCUUUGUACCAGAUCUAGCAACAUUAAACCUUAACUUUUAUCCCAUACAAAUUCCAUUUCAGUUUCUCAAAGGCUUUGACAAACAUUUUAAUUAGUUUCUUAAAGGCUUUGACAACAUUAACCCUGAUAAUAUUGCAUAGUCGAACCUUUUACAAAAUCAAAAUGCAUUCCAAUUCCUUGCCACAUAAACAUCAAUGACCACUCCGUGCUGACAGACUAAAUUCCACAACAUAUUUUCGUCUUAAUUAAGGGAAAUUAUAGGAAAAGUGUUUGCAGCUAGAUCACCCAACAAGUUAUCAUCUUUCUCUGAUUUCCUAGUUAUCUUAAAACUCUUUAAACUCUUCUUCCAUCUCUAUUAGCUUGAUAUCUUUUUGACUCGCCCCCUUAAACUCUUCUUCCAUCUCUAUCAGCUUGAUAUCUUUUUGACUCAUCUGCCACUCACCAAUAAUUCUCGUGAUGCAUAAUUCACCUUAAUUUAAUUUCAACCUUAUUAUGGAAAUAAGUAUUUCUAGUGAUGUUAUUAUAUUCUAACAACAAUUAAUUAAUACAAACAAACAAAAUACAAGUAUUGUCUUAUGACUAUAGUUACAUGGAGUGUCUAUCUUCAUGCAUGAAAUGUUGGAGACACCGACAAUUUCAUUGUUUCAUCAUCUAUGCCUCCACAGUUUCAUGGUUUUUUAAACUAUUUUGUACACAACGUUAUUUGUGAAAUCGUGUUUACAUGGCAAAUUUACGAGCUCUACGUGUGUGAAUUUACAACCAUGAUUUGCCUUUUUUUUUGUAAACUAUUAGAGUGCAUUGAAGUUUUUGAUCUAUUGAUUGAUUCUCACAUGAAUUUUAGGUUUUCAUUGGGCCAUUUUGAGAGAAAAGGGGAAAGCUUGAUAUAAUAAGAUACAUAAGUAAAUUGUUAUUAUGCGCAAAGAGAUAAAAGUAUGUUGAUAUUAUGUGUAAGAAAUGAAAGUACAUUGCAAUAUAUUAUGUAAAAGAAUUGCAAAUACGAUGCUAUUAUCCGUAUAGAAAAGUAUGUUUUUUGGAAUGGCGUAAGGAAAAAUAAGUAUGGUGCUUUUGUGUAAACAAACAUAAAUAAGAUGCUAUUAUGGGCGAAUAAAGUAUAUGUUACGAGUUUUAGGCUACAUAUUAAGGUUAUUGCUUUAUAGGAUACAAUUGUAAGAGUGUUGCAAUUAUAGGUAACAAUUUUAUGUCGCAACAUACCCUAUUGUAAAUUUUAUGGUAGUAGUGGUCAAUGUUGAUAGUAUUCAACCUUUACUUUUAUUAAAGGGACAAAAUAUCAGCUUUCCCUAGCUUGUAUUUUAAUGAUAAACAACAUGAAUGUAUGGUUGGCGUACACAACUGUCAUGUUCACCUUAAUAAAAAGCCAUCACAAUGCACAUACAAAAGUUGAAAGCUUAUCUAGUUCCUUCAGUAUGACCUCUUAUCCAAGGCAUGAUGAAAUUAAAAGCCAUCGUGAGGAUAUGGAUGGACCACAUACUAUCCAUUCUAUCUUAUUUUGCUCUAUCUGUUUUCGUUUAGGGAGUACUUUUGUUGUAAUUUCUUACAACAUGGCAUCAAGGUUAAUUAUGUUCAUUCUAUUUGGUAUCACAAAAAUGAGAUUUUUAAAUAUAAUUUGAUACCUCAUUGACUCAUUGUCUAUUAUCAUUAUGACUUCACUUUAUGACCACGUAUAUGCAUAUAUUUCAGUAUUGGUGCUUGUUUAGUUAAUAUAGAAUUCUGUCAGUGUUAUAAACGAGCUAGCUUCACCAAUAUCUCAAAGACCAGCAAUAGAGAGCAAAAAUGUCUGUUCAAAUCAACCGAUAACACAUUUAAUUUUGUGUGAAAUAUGAUGAUUAAAACCAGCUAGCUUCACCAUGAUGAGAGCUACAUACCAGGACCCAAAAUAAUUAACACUGCCUUUCUAACAAAAAUAAAUGUCUUGAAUUUAUUACAGAAAAUGACACGAGCAAGAAGACUCUGAAACAAUUGCCGUAUGAAAAAGGGUUUCUAACUAAAGGGAAAAAAGGAUUUAGGUCAAUGCUUAUCCAAUUAAUGCUCGUUAAAGCACAAUUUUGGAUUUGUGUGCUAGGCCAAUAUUUUUGUCUCACAAAAACUUUAGAUUGAAAUACAAAACUAAUCGACACCAAUCAACAUGGUUGCUCUCCAAAAUUUUCUACAUGAUCAGAUGUAGUUGGAGUGAGACAUAUAAAAGGGAUCUUUAUACCAUUACCUACAAGUUAGAAUGAACCAUUGUUACUGUUAGUGUGCUUAUUGAUGGAGACCAAAUUAAUUGAUAUAACCGAACCAUUACUAAAAAAUAUGGUUCGGUUUCUAAUUUUGAUUAACCGAAUACAUAUUGUUCGAUUAUGGCUUUCAUCAAAAACCAAACCAUUAUAAACCGAACCGAAUCAGUAAUAUUAAUAAAUGUUUUAUUUAUAAUGUAAUAUUAAAUAUAUGGUAUGUAAUUAUAUUAGGAAUUGAAAUUUUAAAGAGUAAUUAUUUAGAGUUAGAUAGGAUAAAUAAUCUUCUAUCAAUAUAAUUAUAUAUACACAAUCAUUCACUUUUUAUUAGAAAAGACUUAAUUUGUGUUUUUCAAUUUUUAUAGAAAAAUAUUUUUAUUUUAUGUCAUUUUGGACUAUUUUGAUUAACCGAUAUUAACCAUUAACCAACUAAACUCAUUAACCAAAACCAAUAUUAACCGCUACUCAAUGGUUAUCGAAAUAUAUUAACAAAUUGUAACGAUUAUGGUUUGGUUUCGACCAAUAACCGAACCAAACGGCCUCAUACACACCCCUAUAUUUUAUCAUUCCAAAAUUUCUACGUCUGUACAAAUUUAUUUUAUAAAGGAAGAAAACAAGUGAUACAAACAAAAAUAAAUAAUAAUAAUAAUAAUAAUAAUAAUAAAGGAUGACCAAAAUGAAUAAUACAAAGAUGUUAUUGUCAAUGAUAAAGAAUAUAAUAAUAAGGAUGGCGGACACCAUGAAAUACAAUACCGUCAUUAUGACGAUGGUGAUGAGUGUAAUAAUAAUAAUAAUAACAUUAAUAAUAAGAGCAACAACGGAUACAUAAUCGCUAGAUAAUAUUUAAUAAAUUAAACUUGAUUAUAAUGGAUUCCUAAGUUGGAAUUCAAUAGAUUUGUAGUUCAACACUAAUCAAAUAUUUAAUGAAAAAAAAAAAACUUUUGUAACUUAUAAAAUAUGUUCUAUAGAAUUUUGUAUAAGUUUUAUAUAUUAGACGACUUAAAUGGUAAAAUUAUAUUAAAUGUGGAAUGUUAAUAUAACAAUCUAUUAAUCUUUAUAUAAUUCUAUUUAUUAUAAAUUCUUUUAACAUAUGUAAAGUAUUGUUUAAAUGUCAAACACCACAAAAUUAUUAUAGAAUUUAAACACAUAUUAGAACUUAAUUAUAAACAAUUAGAAUAUCUAGAGAUGAAAAGAGGGCUGAGGGAUAACGGAGACCUUAAUCUCCAUCAUCAUCCCCAACAAGAAAUAUAAACGAAUCUUCAUCCUAUGCACGUCCAACGGAGAAUAAGGAUCCCCAACAAGGAAUUGAGAAUUUCUUUUUCAAAUUUAAUAUGAAAACUUUUAAGUAAAGGAAAACUCUAAAUUUUAGUUUUUCCAACAUAAAAUUAAAGAUUUUACAAACCAUAAAAAUAUUCAUAUAUUGCAUAAAAACUAUAAACAAAUUUCAUGUCAAAUUUAAAUACAUACAUGAAAAAUCAACUAGAAAAAAAAAUUAUGAGAGUGGUAUUUGAGGUAACAAUAAAUAAAUUAAGAAGAAAAAAUUAUACAUGAGGUUAAAUUAGAUAAACAAAUAGGAAAAGUAUAAUUUCAACCAAGUAAUUACUAAUGAGUUAAGUUAUUUAGAUCAAAUUUUAGGUAUUUUAAAUUUUACUAUAAGUAUAUCUUUUGUUUAUUUUUAUAUAUUAAUAUCUAUCGGAGCCGAAGCCGGGUCCAGGGUUGGGGACUAUGGGUAUCCCAACCCCACUUUUUUAUGUGGAGAUUCUCAUCUCCGUUCCCAUCCUUAGUCAAAACGGGUGCGAGUUUCGAGUUCCCUAUCGGAUAUGAAGAUUUUUUCCAUUCUUAAGAACAUCUUAAUAUGAAUAUCUUAAUAAGUAUCUAGUUUUGAAAAAAAAUAAUAUCUUAGUAAUAAAUUUGAAAAAAUAUGGAAAUAUAAACUAUUAAAAGUUACUCUUUGAAGUCCAUUAAUAAUAUUAUGUCAAGACAAAUAGAUUAGAGUUAGAUUAUAAUAAAAUGGUAUCAAAUAUUAAAGGAAAACAAUAUAAUAAAAUAAUACAUAGAUAGAUAGAAUAAACAUUAGGUAACGUUAUAAUAAAUAAUACUAAAUAUUAACAAAGAGAAUAUAGUAUAAUUUUAUGGCAAUAUAUUAAGAUAAUAUCAUCUAUAAGAUACACAUAAUACAAUAAGAUAAUACCUUCUGUAUUUAGAGAGAAAAUAUAAAAAAAAAAAUAAGGUAAUACAUUUUGUCAUGAUUUUUCUUAAUAAAAAGGAAAAAAAAUACAAUAUCAUCACAUUAAAAUAAUAUAUUUGUCACACAAAAAAUAUUAUAGUAAAUUUAGAGUACGAUAAUAUCUUGAUAUCAUUUAUUCAGUCAAAAACAAUAUAUUAAAAUUAUCCUAAGAUAAGAUAUUUAUGAACGAUUAUAGUAGAAUUUUAUAGUAUAAUGACAGUAAGAUAAUCAAUGGUAGAUUUAGGGGUCUCACGGGGAGGGGGGAGGGAAGGGCUACCCCUCGAUUUUACGUCGUAGUGUAAAAAAUGUAUUAACGUGCACCUACUUAAAAAUAUAUAUACAACUACUACUAUAAGGUGCAACUAUAACCGUAAUUCCUGCUUUCGCCACCAUAGAUAAUACCUUUUUGUCAAACAUAAAGAGUACAACAAAGUUACAAUAAUAUAUUAUUAUCUUACAUUAAGAAUGCUAUGAAAUUACAUUAAGAUAAUACUUUCUCUUAAGAUUACAUUAGGAUAAGACAAUUUAUUAGACAAAAAGAAUAAAAUAUAUUAAAUUAAGAUAAUAGAUCUAUCAUAUAAAAAAAUAUAAUAAGAUUCCAGUAACAUAAAAUAUUCUUUUAACUAAAUACUUUUAACUAAAUAGAGAAAAUACAAUAAAAUAAUAUAUUUUGUUGUAACAAAGAAUAAGUAAGAUUAUAAUAAGAUAAUAUCCUAUGUUGUUUAAAAAAACAAUGAUUUUAUUGUCUAAAAUAUUUAUUUUUCUAAAGAUAAAGUUAUAAUUUCAUAAUAAUGUCAAAAUUUGGAAACUUUGCGCUGUAAAUGUUUCAAAUUAAUAAAAUCUUAAUUAUAUGAAUAAUGAUAAAAAUUAUUACCAUUAUUGUUGUUUUAACGCUUUGUAUUAACUAGUUACGCAUAAUUCACCACAGACAAAUGUGAUUCCAUGUCUAUAUAAUUAAUGAUCAAGUACCGAUGAAAUGAUAUUUGUUGACUGUUAAACAAAGAAAAUAGGCGGUUCACUUGCUCUUUUUACUCCUAUAACAUAUUCACUCAUCCUUCUCUUCCACUAUCUCCCCUCUCAAUAUACCGAAUAAAUCCAUAGCACUGCAGUCAUUGCAACAAGACUUCUCUUUGCUUCCGUACCCACAGGGCCGGUCCUGAAAAAUGAAAUAUUCUUAAAUGCUCAGGACGAACAAGAGAAAAAAGGCCCUUAUCUUUAUUAUAAUUUUAUAUUUUUAAAUAAAAAUAUAUAAUUAAAAAAAUUGGGCCCUGUGCAGCUGCCCACUUUGCCCCCCUCUAAGCCCCCCAUGCGUACCCAAAGCCCACCCGAAGACUACCAAACCAUCAUAACACCGUACUCCAUUUUCUGUAGUUGCAACAUCGCGUUUUCUACAGAUCUCAAAACUUCAUGCUUCCAAAACUCUCGAGACAAUAUACAAAGAAGAAAUGACCACAUGCAGUGAAAGCAGAGAUGGUGUUGCAGAUGUAUUUACAAGUGCUUCACCUUUGCCUUCAGUUUUUGCUUCUUUUUUGCUAUCAAACAGGUCGACAUGCUUAGUUAAAAUGUAGAAACACUUAUCUAAGAACUCUGAUAUCUUCCGAUCAUGUGCUUAUGGCAGUCAUUAAUUAGUAUUUAUUUCUAUUGUUGGGUUAUAUUUAAAGGGUAUACGUUGGAAAGGUUAAAGUAUGUUGGAGAAGGUUGUCAAGAACUAUUGAAGGGUAAAUAUUGUUAAGUUCAUUAAGGUGGUGUUGUGUGUUUUAGCUAAUUUUUGGCUACAUUUCUUGUUGGUCUUGCUUCGCUGGUCAUCCUACUGAGGGGUUAUUUUAGGGAUCUCAUCAUAUGACUAUUUUGUUUAGAAACCCUUCUUGGAGCUAUG